rnacentral:rRNA from 1 species
GACGAACCGUACGAACGUUAUUCGGAAUUACUGGGCUUAAAGGGUUUGUAGGCGGCCUUGUAAGUCGGGUGUGAAAUCCCUCGGCUCAACCGAGGAAUGGCGCCCGAUACUGCAAGGCUUGAGGGAGACAGGGGUAAGCGGAACUGAUGGUGGAGCGGUGAAAUGCGUUGAUAUCAUCAGGAACACCGGUGGCGAAAGCGGCUUACUGGGUCUCUUCUGACGCUGAGGAACGAAAGCUAGGGGAGCGAACGGG